GCCUCGGUCGCGCAGUAGGCAGCGCGUCAGUCUCAUAAUCUGAAGGCCGUGAGUUCGAUCCUCACCCGGGGCA
rnacentral:tRNA from 1 species